UAGUGACUGUUUUGGUUUCUAACCAACACCUUUCCCCUGUAAAGGUGUACUUUGCAGUCAGGUGGAUCCAGAUGACUAUGGCAGUGCUGAGCAUUGUCGGUUCAGGUUCCAUAAUUGUUUAUGCAACUUUCCAACACCUUAUAAGGACACCUGAGAUCCAGCCAUUGUUCUUACUGAGUGUGACAGACUUGCUGCUGGCAGU